rnacentral:rRNA from 1 species
GAUGAACGCUGGCGGCGUGCUUAACACAUGCAAGUCGAACGGAAAGGCCUCUGCUUGCAGGGGUACUCGAGUGGCGAACGGGUGAGUAACACGUGGGUGAUCUGCCCUGCACUUCGGGAUAAGCCUGGGAAACUGGGUCUAAUACCGGAUAGGACAAUGGUUUGGAUGCUGUUGUGGAAAGUUUUUCGGUGUGGGAUGAGCUCGCGGCCUAUCAGCUUGUUGGUGGGGUAAUGGCCUACCAAGGCGUCGACGGGUAGCCGGCCUGAGAGGGUGUACGGCCACAUUGGGACGGGGAUACGGCCCAGACUCCUACGGGAGGCAGCAGUGGGGAAUAUUGCACAAUGGGCGCAAGCCUGAUGCAGCGACGCCGCGUGGGGGAUGACGGCCUUCGGGUUGUAAACUCCUUUCGCUAGGGACGAAGCGUUUUUGUGACGGUACCUGGAGAAGAAGCACCGGCUAACUACGUG